CUGAUAUUUAUGCUUUUGUGUCAUCUUUCCUCUUGCAAUGGCUUUGGAAAAGCAAGCUGCUGUGAACCCUACGACAAGGAAACUAAUUCCGAUAAUACUCUGAGAGAGCUUGGAAGAGGAUCCUUCUCCAUUUGAAGCUCCUGAAGGGAACCCAGUCCUGUUAGACAAUUGAUUACAGCCUUGUGAUUCCCUGAGCAGAGGACUUAGCUAUGACUCCAUGAGACUCCUGUGACAAAAUAAAUUUGUGCUGUUUUUAAAUA